AAUGAGAGUUUGAGUGUGUGUGUGUGUGUGUGUGUAUAUAUAUAUAUAUAUAUAUAUAUACACACACACACACACACUCA
rnacentral:miRNA from 1 species